CAGUAACGGCGAGUGAAGCGGUAACAGCUCAAAUUUGAAAUCUGGCCUCACGGUCCGAGUUGUAAUUUGUAGAGGAUGCUUCGAGCAUGGUCUGGCCUAAGUUCCUUGGAACAGGACGUCAUAGAGGGUGAGAAUCCCGUAUGCGGCCAGGUGCCUACGCUCAUGUGAAGCUCCUUCGACGAGUCGAGUUGUUUGGGAAUGCAGCUCAAAAUGGGUGGUAAAUUUCAUCUAAAGCUAAAUAUUGGCCAGAGACCGAUAGCGCACAAGUAGAGUGAUCGAAAGAUGAAAAGCACUUUGGAAAGAGAGUUAAACAGUACGUGAAAUUGUUGAAAGGGAAGCGCUUGCAACCAGACUUGCGCGCGGCCGAUCAUCCGGUGUUCUCACCGGUGCACUCGGCCGUGCUCAGGCCAGCAUCGGUUUUGGCGGCUGGAUAAAGGCCCUAGGAAUGUAGCUCCUCUCGGGGAGUGUUAUAGCCUAGGGUGCAAUGCAGCCUGCUGGGACCGAGGACCGCGCUUCGGCUAGGAUGCUGGCGUAAUGGUUGUAAGCGGCCCGUCUUGAAACACGGACCAAGGAGUCUAACAUCUAUGCGAGUGUUUGGGUGUCAAACCCAUACGCGUAAUGAAAGUGAACGGAGGUGAGAACCCUUAAGGGUGCAUCAUCGACCGGUCCUGAAGUUUACGGAAGGAUCUGAGUAAGAGCAUAGCUGUUGGGACCCGAAAGAUGGUGAACUAUGCCUGAAUAGGGUGAAGCCAGAGGAAACUCUGGUGGAGGCUCGCAGCGGUUCUGACGUGCAAAU
rnacentral:rRNA from 1 species